rnacentral:rRNA from 1 species
GAUGAACGCUGGCGGCGUGCUUAACACAUGCAAGUCGAACGAAGCACUUAUAACAGAUUCUUCGGAUGAAGUUUUUUGUGACUGAGUGGCGGACGGGUGAGUAACGCGUGGGUAACCUGCCUCAUACAGGGGGAUAACAGUUAGAAAUGACUGCUAAUACCGCAUAAGCGCACAGGGGUCGCAUGACCUGGUGUGAAAAACUCCGGUGGUAUGAGAUGGACCCGCGUCUGAUUAGCUAGUUGGUGAGGUAACGGCCCACCAAGGCGACGAUUAGUAGCCGACCUGAGAGGGUGACUCGGGCCACAUUGGGACUGAGACACGGGCCCAAAACUCCUAACGGGGAGGGCAGCAGUGGGGAAUAUUGCACAAUGGGGGAAACCCUGAUGCAGCGACGCCGCGUGAA